GUGAGUCAUCGAAUCUUUGAACGCACAUUGCGCCCCUUGGUAUUCCGAGGGGCAUGCCUGUUCGAGCGUCAUUACAACCCUCAAGCAUUGCUUGGUAUUGGGCUCCGCUGCUCACCCAGCGGGCCUUAAAAUCAGUGGCGGUGCCGUCAGGCCCUGAGCGUAGUAAAUAUCCUCGCUAUAGGGACCUGGUGGACGCUGGCCAGCAACCCCCAUUUUCUAAGUUUGACCUCGGAUCAGGUAGGGAUACCCGCUGAACUUAAGCAUAUCAAUAAGCGGAGGA
rnacentral:misc_RNA from 1 species